rnacentral:rRNA from 1 species
UACGUAGGGGGCAAGCGUUAUCCGGAUUUACUGGGUGUAAAGGGAGCGUAGACGGUUAUGUAAGUCUGGAGUGAAAGCCCGGGGCCCAACCCCGGGACUGCUUUUGAAACUGUGUGACUGGAGUGCAGGAGAGGUAAGCGGAAUUCCUAGUGUAGCGGUGAAAUGCGUAGAUAUUAGGAGGAACACCAGUGGCGGAGGCGGCUUACUGGACGGUAACUGACGCUGAAGCACGAAAGCGUGGGUAUCGAACAGG